AGUAAAAGUCGUAACAAGGUUUCCGUAGGUGAACCUGCGGAAGGAUCAUUACAGAGUUCAUGCCCGAAAGGGUAGACCUCCCACCCUUGUGUAUUAUUACUUUGUUGCUUUGGCGAGCUGCCUUCGGGCCUUGUAUGCUCGCCAGAGAAUACCAAAACUCUUUUUAUUAAUGUCGUCUGAGUACUAUAUAAUAGUUAAAACUUUCAACAACGGAUCUCUUGGUUCUGGCAUCGAUGAAGAACGCAGCGAAAUGCGAUAAGUAAUGUGAAUUGCAGAAUUCAGUGAAUCAUCGAAUCUUUGAACGCACAUUGCGCCCCUUGGUAUUCCGGGGGGCAUGCCUGUUCGAGCGUCAUUUCAACCCUCAAGCUUAGCUUGGUAUUGAGUCUAUGUCAGUAAUGGCAGGCUCUAAAAUCAGUGGCGGCGCCGCUGGGUCCUGAACGUAGUAAUAUCCCUCGUUACAGGUUCUCGGUGUGCUUCUGCCAAAACCCAAAUUUUUCUAUGGUUGACCUCGGAUCAGGUAGGGAUACCCGCUGAACUUAAGCAUAUCAAUAAGCGGAGGA
rnacentral:rRNA from 1 species